rnacentral:rRNA from 1 species
GACGAACGCUGGCGGCGUGCUUAACACAUGCAAGUCGAACGGAAAGGCCCUGCUUUUGUGGGGUUCUCGAGUGGCGAACGGGUGAGUAACACGUGAGUAACCUGCCCUUGACUUUGGGAUAACUUCAGGAAACUGGGGCUAAUACCGGAUAGGAGCUCCUGCUGCAUGGUGGGGGUUGGAAAGUUUCGGCGGUUGGGGAUGGACUCGCGGCUUAUCAGCUUGUUGGUGGGGUAGUGGCUUACCAAGGCUUUGACGGGUAGCCGGCCUGAGAGGGUGACCGGCCACAUUAGGACUGAGGUACGGCCCAGAAGCCUACGGGAGGCAGCAGUGGGGAAUAUUACAGAAUGGGCGGAAGCGUGAUGCAGCAACGCCGCGUGCGGGAUGACGGCCUUCGGGUUGUAAACCGCUUUCGCCUGUGACGAAGCGGGAGUGACGGUAAUGGGUAAGGAAGCAACGGCUAACUACGUG